rnacentral:rRNA from 1 species
CACGGAGGCCCCGAGCGUUGUUCGGAUUUACUGGGCGUAAAGCGUAUGUAGGCGGUUAGGUAAGUCAGAUGUGAAAUCUCUGGGCUCAACCCGGAAACUGCAUCCGAUACUGCCUGACUAGAGGACUGGAGAGGAAACUGGAAUUUACGGUGUAGCAGUGAAAUGCGUGGAUAUCGUAAGGAAGACCAAUGGCGAAGGCAGGUUUCUGGACAGUUCCUGACGCUGAGAUACGAAGGCCAGGGUAGCGAAAAGG